rnacentral:lncRNA from 1 species
AUGCCAAGACAAUUGGCAGAACUCGCCGAAAAAUUUUUCACAGGCUCGCCACGGCAUAUGCCAGCGAUAAGCACACUUCCGUUCCCGUACUGCCUGCCAGCAGCGGACAACGCGACAAUGAAGACUAGUGACAGAAUCAGACUGACUCUAUUCAAAGCUGUGCUCAGGAGAGGCGUCACAGGUGUCCUCCUAUCCUCCAUAGGCCCUGCCGUCGCCUGACCUCUCCAACGUCACCGCGCUCCGGACGAACAGCCCCCGAAAAACCCCACCCCCAUGACGUUUGGCCCCCAUGUAGCGACGCGCUGGACCCACAAAGAGACCCAGACGAGUAGAUGAACUCUUGAGAAGACAUGCAUCCCCACCAAGGAAGAUUAGCCUCUCAAUCAGAAAGGAUUUGUCUUCCGGCUCCUCAACACUGGCUGGCCCUGCAGGAUGAUUCCGACUCCCUCAAACAUUGCUCCCCAAAACGAUUGUUCAAGUGAUUUUUCUCUUGCAUCUGAAAUUCUCUGCGCUUAAUUUACUGUCAAUGAAUGAUCAACAUGUAUUGCAUAAUGAACUUUUUCCUUUUGAUACGUAGGCCAAGAAAAUCAGACUCAGGAAGCCGCAUUGAAUUAUUUGUAUUUUCGUUUGUAUUUUGGUUGCCUUCCGCUGUAAAAACUAUAAUAUUACAUAAUUUAUUCGAAGUCGAUACUGUCGCUUGACCUUUCUAUUGACGUGUAAUUUUCAAUUUAGCACAAUUUGUGAGCAAACUGGAUGAAUUUGUGUAAGAUGUGUAUCAAGUACUUCACUUUAACUAUCGUUUUGUAGCAGAUUAAAUCUGAACUCUCAAGAUAAAUGAGUUUUUCGAUCCUCUUUUUUUCGUUAAAUAUAUUUUUUAUGUCAGCUUAUCAUAUUGAAUUUUUGCACGAUGGUCCCUGUUUUGUUAUGUCUCGAAAGGUUUUAUCAUUUUUAAUCGUUACAUUUUUAACUUUCUGCGUAUAUUUGUUCCUCUUUUUGUCCAACCAAUGAAAGGUAUUUUUAAGAAUUAACUCCUACAAAAGAACGAUUCAAUGAGAGACCAUCUGCGAGCUCCAACAGAUGAUCUGCUGAUAACAGUCAGUCGGAUUUUCACUCACAUAAAGUAUUUUUGCACCAUUUUCCUUCUUUUGCUCUGAAUUCGACUCUUACACUUUCUGUAUAUUUGAUUGGUUCAUAUCGCUUGUGUUUUCACUUCCUCUUUACUCGUGAAGUGAAGAAAAUCAACAACCACGUUGAAAAGGCUUAUUAGGCUUGAGCCCUCUAUAAACCCAAAAGCAAUAGAUUUGGACUCUAGUGGAAGAAUUCUGGUUUAGCCUAAGAGUUUUGUAUCUAUAUUCGAAAAGUGAAAAUAAUUUUUUAGAAUUUAUAAUUCCUACUUUUUUUUAAAAAAAGACUGACAGUUUUAAAAUUUAGGACUAUAGAAUACAAGGUAACGAAUCCAUUACGAGAUAUCGAAGUGCAUUUUUCAUCCAAAUAAGAGGACACUUUUAAAUAUUCAAACCAUCGGGAUAUCAUUUGGCUCAAUUCUACAAAAAUCGUCAUCAGCUGCAGGACCUGCUCUUUCAAAACCUGUGUGGAAACAGAAACACCCGCUUGAAAAUAUUUCAUCACUGUUUGCAUUUGUGAAUUUAUGUAUUAACGUGGAAUAUCUAGAAUGAAGCAUAACUGUAGGUAGGUGUACAAUUUAAAAAUGUUAGGACCACAAUAUAGUUCCUCACUGCAUUUUUGAAAACCGCGUUACGACGGAAUGUGAGUAUUUGAUUGUUUUAAAGUAGAAUUCACUUUGCAACAGCAAAUCUUUAAAGGACAUUUUAUUUAUUUUUCAACUGACACUGCCAGUAGUAUUAUGAAUGAAUAAUGAUAACGUUAGAGAACACAAAUGAAGUAAAAUUUUUGAGAAAGUUUAUUUUUAAGUCAUUACUGUAUCUUUUAUGUUUAUUUUAAAUAAAUUGAAAGGGUAAUGUUUUAAAUAUUGUGUUAUAUUUUUCAUUCCUCUAAUUAAGCAUUAUUAGCUUCGACUGCAUAAAAAAAAUAAUGUACAGAAAAAAACCAGUUUAGAGAGUGCUGUGCGGGGAAAAAACUCAAAGAUCUUAAUCGGUAAAAUUCUCUGACAAUCGGAAUUGGGUUUUUGGCUUCUCUUCCCGUGCAAAUCUACGUAAUAAGCACAGAGGCUAAAAUGCUUGGAAACCAUAUAAAAAAUAUAAAAAAAAUAAGAAAAAUAAAAAACACAGAAACUGAAACAUGAGUACAACAGACUGAAUAUUGGUGUAAUAGCUGAUUUAUGUGGACCGAUUUUAACUGAAACACAUCAAGUUACAUCAAGUUUGAACCCCCCAAAAAAAGGUUUGACGUUUUAUUCCUUGAUCUGUAAAGCUCAAUAUUAAGGACUACAUUUGAGCCUAUUUUUACGCUUGAAUUUUUUUUCUCGACUUUGAAUCUACAAUGAGAUGAAAACUAUGACCAGGAACUCAUUUUCUCCAAAAUACGACUUGAUGCAAUUCUAUUUAACUCGAACCAUACAAUAAUUACAAUUAUAACAUUAGAAUUACUUAAGAUAAAUUAUUUUGAAAACUUUCUAUUUAUUGAGAAACCUUACUAUACCAUGAAUAAAAAUUGCGUCGAUAUCUUAAAUUUAAAGGAGUUCAUACAUACAUAGAGCCGCUUCUAUAGCGCAGCUUCGCGCUCUGCGUUUGGGCGUAAAGGAGUUCAUCCGUGUUUAGUAAAAACAGCACAAGCACAUGUCCUCAUUUUAGUAAGCCAAAAAUUGGUCGAAAUUGAGGCCGCAAACAAUCUCGAGGCGAAUGCUAUGAAGCAGGUACUUUAACCUAUCUGUACUACUUGGAAGUCUCUUUAAAGCUUGAAGGCAUACUCUCUGCUUUCAUACUCUAUCUAUAUUAUAAUAUAAUAAAUAUAAAAGACAACGUUGUAUUAACACGAAAAAUUCAAAUUUUAACAGAUUGUUUACAUGGAUAUUAAGAUAGACUUGGAGAUAAUUUCAACAAAAGCUGAUGAGGUCCAUUAGUAACAGAGUUGUGAUGGAGUUAGACACUUCAGUCUGCAAAUUAUAUGAAGGCACAAUGAAGAUGCACUAAACAUUUGAUGACUGGUUUUAUCGCAGUAAUAGACUAGUGCAGUUUAUAUUAGUGUAGUCCUUUUGACAGGGUAUGGAUUAAAUGUCUUAUCAAGGCGUUAAUCCUCGCAUCAAAUCCACGCAGAAUACGUUUGCAGUUUAAAGUAGAAUCAGUCGAUGCACAAAAGAAGUUUUCGAUAACAAUAAGGGAAAAAAAAAUGUUAAAAGAAAAGUAUGACAGUUUUACAAAACAUUAUAAUUAACAGUCACUGUCUGCUCAGGAAACCGAAACCCCCUGUAAUCAGCGCAGACUGAAGCAGCUAUUAAAAACAAACUUACCCGUUCGGUAAAUAACCAGUGUUUGCUGUAAAAAGGUGUUUCCCUCCGCCAAGUUACAAAACUUGUAAACCUGCCAAAAAGCAUACUAAAAAAAAUAAUUUCAUCGUGAACAAACAGACACUAGUUUAAUUUUUGAUUUGACUCAAUAGGACUUUGGUUUUUUGUGAGUGGAGCCUAUUAUUCCUGUACAAGGGAAACUACUUUUUUUAGUUAAGAAAUAUCGGGACUUGAUGAUUUGAGAAAAGCUUGGAAGAGCGCGAGCAAAAGGAAAUUGAAACGCUGAAUAGGUAAGUGAAAAGAAAUUAAAAUAUUCAUUUUUCAAUACAAUUCCCCACCUUGAAUGGUUGAGUUGCCGCCAAAAUCACUCCAAUAAACGUGAAAUCUCUCGUGAUAUUUCAUCUCGUGGAUGACUUCAUAUUUUGUCCAACAAUACAUUUAAAUGCGGACGUAAAAGAUACUGAAGUAUGUACGGGUUUGUUUAAUUGCUCACUCAAGUAGAAGGCACUAAGUUGGAAUGUAUUUUGGAAAUGUAUUUAAAAAAAAUAAAUAAAUAAAUAAAAAAAAUAAAAUAAAAGAUUUUAAAUACUACAUCACUUUAGUAGGUAGAUGAAAUGGCUAGACAAUACUUGUUUUCUUUUUUGAAUUUUUCAACGGAACACUAAUUUAUCCAGAGAAAUGAAGAGCAUCUGUCAGUUGUAUACUGUUUCAUAUACUAUUUGAGACAAUUCA